rnacentral:rRNA from 1 species
UCGGACGAAGAGGUAAAGGUUACGGGACGGGGAGUGGGCAUGCGUGCCAUUAGCUUGUUGGCGGGGUAACGGCCCACCAAGGCUACGAUGGCUAGGGGAGCUGAGAGGCUGAACCCCCACACUGGUACUGAGACACGGACCAGACUCCUACGGGAGGCAGCAGUGAGGAAUAUUGGUCAAUGGGCGAGAGCCUGAACCAGCCAUGCCGCGUGCAGGAAGACGGCCCUACGGGUUGUAAACUGCUUUUCUGCGGGAAGAACGGCCCCGACGCGAUCGGGGUGUGACGGUACCGCAGGAAUAAGGAUCGGCUAACUCCGUG